GACGAACGCUGGCGGCGUGCUUAACACAUGCAAGUCGAACGGAAAGGCCCUGCUUGCAGGGUACUCGAGUGGCGAACGGUUGAGUAACACGUGGGUGAUCUGCCCUGCACUUCGGGAUACGCCUGGGAAACUGGGUCUAAUACCGGAUAGGAGCCAUUUUUAUUUUUAUGGUUGGAAAGUUUUUUCGGUGUAGGAUGAGCUUGCGGCCGAUCAGCUAGUUGGUGGGGUAAUGGCCUACCAAGGCGGCGACGGGUCGCCGGCCUGAGAGGAUGAACAGCCAGACUGGAACUGAGACACGGUCCAGACUCCUACGGGAGGCAGCAGUGAGGAAUAGUUCACAAGGAGCGAAAGCUUGAUGGAGCAAUGCCGCGUGCAGGAUGAAGGCCCUCGGGUUGUAAACUGCUAGUAUAAGAGAAGAUUAUGACGGUAACUUAUGAAUAAGGGACGGCUAACUACGUG
rnacentral:rRNA from 1 species